UGUGAAUUAGUGAAGUUUAGGGAGACAGGCUAGCGGUUUCCCUGAUUUCAGUCUUUAUGCUAAGCUAGGCUAACCACCGG